GCUGGGCGUGGUGGUGCACACCUGUAAUUCCAGCUACUUGGGAGGCUGAGGCAGGAGACUCACUUGAACCCAGGAGGCAGAGGUUGCAGUGAGCCAAGAUGGCACCACUGCACUCCAGCCUGGGUGACAGAGUGAGACUCCGUCUCAA
rnacentral:sRNA from 1 species